GAUGUGGCUGUAGCUCAGUGGAAGAGCAUUUGCUUCACAUGCAGAAGGUCCCAGGUUCCAUUCCUGGCAGCAUCU